GGGCUAUAGCUCAGUUGGUAGAGCGUCUGAAUGGCAUUCAGAAGGUCGAGGGUCCGACUCCCUCUAGCUCC
rnacentral:tRNA from 1 species